GGUUUAGGUUCAGCGCGAUCCAAGGAACGAAGCGGUACUUGUAACGAUGCCAUCGCUGCCACAGGCCCCGAAGCAGGCGGCCCGGCAUGGCCGUCCCGCGGCGCUGUAACGAGGACAGCGCCGGAGAGGGUUGAUUCAUCUUGUUUCUGAUGAGUUUGGUCCUGUGAAAAAUGACUACUGGCAGAAAAAUGAAGGAUAAAAGUGGAAAUGAGUACAUAACCACAGGCUUGGAUAGAGAAAACAAUGGAGGAAAAAGAUGUAAUGAAAUGAGAAGCAAAGCACCUAAUUUUUGAGACCAGUUACAAAUGAUAGCAUGCGAUGGAAGGAGGAAGACAAAGGCUGGGCUGAGAGAGCUCCAAAUGGGUGUAAUGGCAGAGGCAUACGGGUGAGUCCAUGCUUCCUUACCACCUGAGACCGGCUGGAUGUGAAGAGUUACAGAGAAAAAACUGAAGAUAAAGCCAAAUCAAAACAGGCACUGGACUGUCCAAGGGAUACAGAGUAUUUCUCCUACAGAUGACAGUGCUAAGUCAAAAGCUUUUAAUGUGAUUUCUGUCUUGUAGAAAAAGGUAAAAGAAAAAAACACUCAGCAAAAUUAGAUGGAACUAUAAUGAAUGGAGUGGAAAAAUCUAAAGCCAAAAGAAAAAAAAAAAAACAAAACUCUUGUGUUCAAAUCAGCAAAGGAUAAUGAUAUGCCUAGAAUUAAAGUGCAUGUUGGGGCGCCUGGGUGGCUCAGUCACUUAAGCUACUGACUCUUGAUAUUGGUUCAGGUCAUGAUCUCACGGUGGUGAGAUAGAGCCCCAUGUCAGGCUCUGCACUGGGUGUGGAGCUCGCUUAGGAUUCUCUGUCCUUCUUCCUCCGCCCCUUCCCUGCUUGCACUCUUGCGCUC